rnacentral:rRNA from 1 species
UACGUAGGGUGCAAGCGUUGUCCGGAAUUAUUGGGCGUAAAGAGCUCGUAGGCGGUCUGUCGCGUCUGCUGUGAAAGCCCGGGGCUUAACUCCGGGUCUGCAUUCGAUACGGGCAGACUAGAGUGUGGUAGGGGGAGAUCGGAAUUCCUGGUGUAGCGGUGAAAAUGCGUAGAUAUCUGGAGGAAUACCGGUGGCGAAGGCGGCAUCCUGGACCGGCAUUGACGCUGAGGAGCGAAAGCCAGGGGAGCAAACGGG